UAUAAGUAGGACCGAUAGAUACAAGUCGCUUGGUAACUCGUUCCAGGUCGACACAGUGGCAUACCAUUUAUCGGUGUUGAAAGACUUGUAUCCAAAUGGUAUAAAUGUUUUAUCACUAUUUUCUGGAAUUGGCGGUGCUGAAGUUGCUCUGUAUCGUCUCGGUAUUCCAUUGAACAAUGUGGUUGCCGUAGAGAUAUCUGAAGUUAACAGGAAUAUUCUGAGAAGCUGGUGGGAGCAAACAA
rnacentral:misc_RNA from 1 species